GAAAAGUUUCCUGGAGUAUUCAUUAGUUGACUUCCCUGCUCACAGCUUCCUGGGGCUGCAGAAUUCACCCCCAAUAAAGGAAGGAGGGGGGCCUUCGUUUUUUAAAAGUCCUGUAUUUACAAGACCAGAAAUGCCAGUGCUAAGUCCUUCUAAAGAGAAAAGCUGAACAGGAGGACCGACGCCUUCCUUAUAAGACCUCAUCCACCAAGUCUCCACAACCCAAGUGGCCUUACGCUGAGAACUAAGCCUCUUGUUUAAGUGAAAGCAACACCCAUUGCCCCUUAGGCUAAGAAGGCUCAUUGGAGCCAGAGCUCGCACCAACCCGGUAGAAAGCGACUGCAAAGGCAGAGAGAGCAAAAGCCGGAAGGAGCGAAGGAGACGAGAGCACCAGGCAUAGACCAAAG
rnacentral:lncRNA from 1 species